UGGCAGACGGGUGAGUAACAUGUAGGUAUCUGCCCUUUGGCCUGGAAUAACACGAGGAAACUUGUGCUAAUACUGGAUAAGUCUUUACGGAGAAAGCUUUAUGCACCAUUGGAUGAGCCUGCACUUGAUUAGUUUGUUGGUGGGGUAAUGGCCUACCAAGACUGUGAUCAAUAGCUGAUUUGAGAGGAUGAUCAGCCACAUUGGGACUGAGACACGGCCCAAACUCCUACGGGAGGCAGCAGUGGGGAAUCUUGCACAAUGGAGGAAACUCUGAUGCAGCGAUGCCGCGUGAGUGAAGAAGGCCUUUGGGUUGUAAAGCUCUUUCGUCGGGGAAGAAAAUGACUGUACCCGAAUAAGAAGGUCCGGCUAACUUCGUGCCAGCAGCCGCGGUAAUACGAAGGGACCUAGCGUAGUUCGGAAUUACUGGGCUUAAAGAGUUCGUAGGUGGUUGAAAAAGUUGGUGGUGAAAUCCCAGAGCUUAACUCUGGAACUGCCAU
rnacentral:rRNA from 1 species